GUGCGUGUCAAAGAGAGAUGCAUAAGGCAUCCCAAUUGAAUUCAAAAAAAUCUUGGUUUUGCCAUGUGGUAAGACCAUUCAAAUCUAAAUUGAAGAGGUGUGAUAAGCAGAUAAGAAGCACCUCCUUCUACCCAAAGCAAAAGGACUCUUCAAGUGCCUCUUCGUGUGAUCUGCUGAUCACCCGCACGCACUAAUGGAAGAGGGAUUAUUUUGG
rnacentral:lncRNA from 1 species